GGGGCCUGUGUGCACUGAAAGAGAGAAUGCACUUUAGGGGCCUGUGCUCAAUAAAUGGUAACUAACAUCUUUAUUAUUAGGACCAAGCACCCACCAAUGUCCUAUGGGUCUUGAACCUUCGGAUUUUCACACCUGUCACUGUGGUUCCCACUUGGCAGGAGAGGACACCAAGUCUCGGAGAAGUGAAGUGCGGUGCUCCAGGCCACACAGCAGGGCUGAGGCCAGGGCAGGAUGAGGGGGAUGUGGGGUAGCAAACCCUAAAAAUGAGCUACUGACCACUCCUGCCUGUCUCCAGUCUCAGGCUUGAGUUUCACAUUCUCCAUGUCACUCACAGGGACCUUUAGUCUGUUCCCACGCCCUGUGGCCUGCCCUUCUGCCCCACUGGGCUGAUGCCCUGAGUCUGGAAAGUUCCCCAGCCUGGGAGAGAUAAGGGCUGCCUUGCCCAGGUUCCUGGGUAGUGCCUGCCUGCGGCCCCUUUGAUUGCAGACCAGAUGGUCCUACCAGUCCAGCUGCUGGAGGAGCCAGGCCUCAGUGAUAGGGGCCAGCCCAGGGUGGGGCCGGGCCUGGUAUCAGCCACCUGGAGGGAGCACCUCCUGUGGUCACCAUGGCAACGGGCGCCCAUGCCUGCAAACAGGAAGCUGCUCCUGGGCUGGUGGUGGGAUCGGCAGGCUUGGUGGAGACCCAGACUCUUUAAUCUUCUAGAGGAAGAGGUCCAGGGGGAAGGGCCUGGUGUGGGCCGCCAAUCUCCUGUCUCCCCGGCUCAGCAAACAGGACCCUCCAGCCCGCCCAGGUGCAAGAUCCUGCUGGGCCUGGGUGAGGUGAGAUGCACAAGUGCCAGCUCCAAUCUGCCCUUGCCAAAUGCUGUUCCAAAUUGGCUCCGUGAAACCAGAACCGCAAAAUCCCGUCAGGACAGCUGGAGGUAAGCACAGCGGUGGAAGGAUUUAGACCACGUCAAAACGGCUCGUGUACAAGAGGGUGAGAAAACCUGUGGACUCCUGGGCAAAGGCACCAUCGGGAACAUUAAGAAAGCAAUCCCACCUCAAACCCACAACCAAAAUAUUUUAUAAGAACUCUCCCUUUUCCCCCCACUCUCUUUUGUCAAGUAAAGGAUACACACGGCCUUUCUACUUGUAACCUGGCCAAGAAUAAUUUGUGGCAGGAAAGUUUGAGCAUUUGUCAAAAUAAAAUAAAAAUGUAAAAAAAAAAAAAUUGCGAGCACUGGAGUGUACAUUUGUGUGAAACUAAACAGAGGGAAGGUUAUU
rnacentral:lncRNA from 1 species